ACCUGCUGCUGGAUCAUUACUCACUGUGAU
rnacentral:rRNA from 1 species